rnacentral:rRNA from 1 species
UACGAAGGGGGCUAGCGUUGCUCGGAAUCACUGGGCCUAAAGCAUCCGUAGCCGGCCUUACAAGUCCUCCGUUAAAUCCAGCUGCUUAACAGAUGGGCUGCGGAGGAUACUAUAAGACUAGGAGGCAGGAGAGGCAAGCGGUACUCAGUGGGUAGGGGUAAAAUCCGUUGAUCCAUUGAAGACCACCAGUGGCGAAGGCGGCUUGCCAGAAUGCGCUCGACGGUGAGGGAUGAAAGCUGGGGGAGCAAACCGG